UAGGGGGUUUCCGCCCCUUAGUGCUGCAGCUAACGCAUUAAGCACUCCGCCUGGGGAGUACGGUCGCAAGACUGAAACUCAAAGGAAUUGACGGGGGGCCCGCACAAGCGGUGGAGCAUGUGGUUUAAUUCGAAGCAACGCGAAGAACCUUACCAGGUCUUGACAUCCUCUGACAAUCCUAGAUCCCUGAUGUUAGCGGCGGGGGCAGAGUGACAGGUGGUGCA
rnacentral:rRNA from 1 species